CAGCCGCGGUAAACGUAGGGGACAAGCGUUAUCCGGAUUCACUGGGCGUAAAGAGCGUUGAGGCGGUUCCGUAAGUUGGGCGUGAAAGCUCCGGGCUUAACCCGGAGAUGUCGUUCAAUACUGCGGGGCUUGAGGACAGCAGAGGAAGGUGGAAUUCCCGGUGUAGUGGUGAAAUGCGUAGAUAUCGGGAGGAACACCCGUGGCGAAGGCGGCCUUCUGGGCUGUUCCUGACGCUGAAGGCGAAAGCUAGGGGAGCGAACGGGAUUAGAUACCCCGGUAGUCCUAGCUGUAAACGAUGGAUGCUGGGUGUGGGGGGUGUAAAUUCCCUCUGUGCCGAAGCAAACGCGUUAAGCAUCCCGCCUGGGGACUACGGCCGCAAGGCUAAAACUCAAACGAAUUGACGGGGGCCCGCACAAGCAGCGGAGCGUGUGGUUUAAUUCGAUGCUACACGAAGAACCUUACCUGGGUUUGACAUGCACGUGGUAGGGAACCGAAAGGGGACCGACCUUCGGGAGCGUGCACAGGUGCUGCAUGGCUGUCGUCAGCUCGUGCCGUGAGGUGUCGGGUUAAGUCCCGUAACGAGCGCAACCCUUGCCCUUAGUUACAAGUGUCUAAGGGGACUGCCCGGGACAACUCGGAGGAAGGUGGGGAUGACGUCAAGUCAGCAUGGCCUUUAUAUCCAGGGCUACACGCACGCUACAAUGGCCAG
rnacentral:rRNA from 1 species